CCUACGGGAGGCAGCAGUGGGGAAUAUUGGGCAAUGGGCGCAAGCCUGACCCAGCAACGCCGCGUGAAGGAAGAAGGCCCUCGGGUUGUAAACUUCUUUUAUCAAGGACGAAACAAAUGACGGUACUUGAUGAAUAAGCCACGGCUAACUACGAGCCAGCAGCAGCGGUAAUACGUCGGUGGCGAGCGUGAUCCGGAUUUACUGGGUGUACAGGGUGGGUAGGCGGGAAGGGAAGUCAGAUGUGAAAACCAGGGGCUCAACCCAUGGCCUGCAUUUGAAACUGUAGUUCUUGAGUGUGGGAGAGGCAGGCGGAAUUCGGGGUGUAGCGGUGAAAUGCGUAGAUAUCCGGAAGAACACCAGUGGCGAAGGCAGCCUGCUGGACAAUAACUGACGCUGAGGCGCGAAAGCGUGGGGAGCAAACAGGAUUAGAUACCCUUGUAGUC
rnacentral:rRNA from 1 species